rnacentral:rRNA from 1 species
GGGUCCGGGAUACAUCGGAAUCUACUCUGUCCUGGGGGAUAACGUAGGGAAACUUACGCUAAUACCGCAUACAACCUACGGGUGAAAGCACGGGAUCUUCGGACCUUGCGCGAUUGAAUGAGCCGAUGUCGGAUUAGCUAGUUGGCGGGGUAAAGGCCCACCAAGGCGACGAUCCGUAGCUGGUCUGAGAGGAUGAUCAGCCACACUGGAACUGAGACACGGUCCAGACUCCUACGGGAGGCAGCACUGGGGAAUAUUGGACAAUGGGGGCAAGCCUGAUCCAGCCAUACCGCGUGGGUGAAGAAGGCCUUCGGGUUGUAAAGCCCUUUUGUUCGGGAAAGAAAUCCAUCUGGUUAAUACCCGGGUGGGAUGACGGUACCCAAAGAAUAAGCACCGGGCUAACUUCGUGCCACCAGCCGCGGUAAUACGAAGGGUGCAAGCGUUACUCGGAAUUACUGGGCGUAAAGCGUGCGUACGUGGUCGUUUAAGUCCGUUGUGAAAGCCCUGGGCUCAACCUGGGAACUGCAGUGGAUACUGGGCGACUAGAAUGUGGUAGAGGGUA